rnacentral:rRNA from 1 species
AAUAGAUACCCGGGUAGUCCUAGCCGUAAACGAUACUCGCUAGGUGUCGGCCACGGUGCGACCGUUGUCGGUGCCGUAGGGAAGCCGUGAAGCGAGCCACCUGGGAAGUACGGCCGCAAGGCUGAAACUUAAAGGAAUUGGCGGGGGAGCACCACAACGGGUGGAGCUUGCGGUUUAAUUGGAUUCAACGCCGGAAAUCUUACCGGGACCGACAGCAAUAUGAAGGCCAGGCUGAAGACUUUGCCGGAUUAGCUGAGAGGUGGUGCAUGGCCGUCGUCAGUUCGUACUGUGAAGCAUCCUGUUAAGUCAGGCAACGAGCGAGACCCACGCCCACAGUUGCCAGCGUACUCUCUGGAGUGACGGGUACACUGUGGGGACCGCCGCUGCUAAAGCGGAGGAAGGAAUGGGCAACGGUAGGUCAGUAUGCCCCGAAUAUCCCGGGCUACACGCGAGCUACAAUGGUUGGUACAAUGGGUAUCUACCCCGAAAGGGGACGGGAAUCUCCUAAAACCAAUCUUAGUUCGGAUUGAGGGCUGCAACUCGCCCUCA